AAUAUAGUAGAUGUUUCUAUGAAUUUUAUGCAUCUAUGACAGAAGACACGCUUUUUAUUUAAGGUAAAUGAGUGAGGAGAUUGAAGUUUAUUUUGAUGCUACUGAAAAAGCAAGUCGUCUCCUAUGGUGUUUUAUCUGUUAUCUUCUUGGAGACUUGUAGUUAAUUAAGGAACAUUAACAAACACCAAAUGCCAUUAAAUAAGUUGUAUCAGUCCCCAUUUGCUCCAGAUAGUAGAUGUGUACUUAUGGUCCUAAAGAAAGCCCCUUUUUUCCAUUGGAAGAGAAGACAGUGUGCUGUAGCUGAGGAUUCAUGACAGUGAACUGCAAACAAAUGAGAAGGAAAAUUGCAGUUAAUUUUGAUGCUACUGAAACAAUCGAUGCUUUGACAUUUUCACCUUGCAACAUUAUGCAGUUAAUUUUGGUUCUGAGUAUUGGAGGUCAUCGGAAAUUAAUUUGGUUUGCUCAACAUAUUUAUGAACUUUAGAACGCUACUUUUUAAGGUUAACUGAGGUGAAAGUACAUAACAUAAUCAAUAUUAAUCGCUCUUUAUUACACUGUUAUGGCAUUUCUUUUAACAAUUAUAUAUUCUCCACAGUAUAAAUUGA